rnacentral:rRNA from 1 species
GCAGGCUGCAACCCGCCUGCGUGAAGUCGGAAUCGCUAGUAAUCGCGGAUCAGCAUGCCGCGGUGAAUACGUUCCCGGGCCUUGUACACACCGCCCGUCACACCAUGAGAGUCGGGAACACCCGAAGUCCGUAGCCUAACCGCAAGGAGGGCGCGGCCGAAGGUGGGUUCGAUAAUUGGGGUGAAGUCGUAACAAGGUAAC